ensembl:lncRNA
AUGCAGUUUAUACAAACCGGGUCCACUAAACUACUCCACCUGAACAGGAGAGGAGGGCUUCCUGAACCGGUGUUUGUCAAAACAUCACACAUUGUCAGAUUGGCCGAAAACGGCGUUCAAGCCACCGUCGCUCCAGUACAGCUGAGCAGACUGCAGCCGUGGGAGAGAGUGACUGUGUUUCACACGCUCAGCUCGAGCUUUCUGAUCCUGGACUUCAUGACAGAUCAACCACUAAGCUGCUGAUCAGCUCAAACCUCGGAGACCAACUUUAAUAUCAAUAAGAAACCAUAUCAUAAUUGGAGUGACAGCAGCCGUAGCUUUAAUCUUGGUGGGUUUUUUCUGUGGGUUGUGUUGAGAAAGAAAUUAAGCCAACGACACCUCUAUGCUGAUGUAGAGAUGUUGAGUGUCUCAGAAAAACAAACUGGGACUGACAGGAUUCUCUGUGCAGGACCAACUUUGGAUCAGAGCGAAUCAUCAGUCACAUCAACAAAAGACUCUCAGCUGCUUUAAGUACAGGAAGUGAUGUGUGCUGUGUAACAUGACUUAUGUUAAUUCAGGCUCAUAUUAUCCUGGGAUUGAAUUCACAGCCAUAAUCAUUAAUGUGGUUGAAGGGAGAGAUUAUUUCUUACUCUUCUGGUUACUGAUGGAUGUUGUAGCACAGAGCGCUGCCUUUCAUAAUCUUUCUGUGUACAUAUUGUAAAUACAUCUUUAUUUUUAUGGGUUUGAAUUUUUCUGAAUUUUCUGUCUAUUUUUUUAACUAACUAUAACAAAUGGUACUGAUGAUUUACAGAAGAUGAUAUAAGACAACAGAAAACAUACCUGGAAAUACAAACCAGAGGCAAAAUGAAAUAUUUACUUAAAAACAAACUGAAAAUGGUCAUCAGAGCCAAGCUUCAUUAAAUACAAACAUUUCUAGUUAUGUUGUUUAAAGGUAUUUUCUAUUGACACCCCGAAAAAUCAGAUGAGGAGACUAUCGUGCGAGAUCAAUCAAUUGGAGACCAGAACAACAAACGACAGAGGCACCAGACAAGUGCAAUCAAACGAUGAGUUUAUUAACACCGGAGAGGAAACAUCAGCAUAUGUCUUCCUCUGACAAAAAUACAAUGGAUGCGGGUUUUAUAGCAUAGAAAAUUAACGCCCACACAUACACGUUGUGGGGAUUAUAUCAUUUUAAUAUCAUGUUUAUUCAUUCAUAUUCGUUCAUAUUCUUUUAUUCAUGUAUAUCCUUUUAUUAAGCUUUGAGUAGUGAUUAAAACAUUUAUUCAAUAUAUUACACCUAUAGUUUCAUUUAUGUUGUUACACAUAUUACAAAAUGGGCUUACAGAAGAGCCUUUUGUCUGGUAAGAGGUUACAAGUUUUAGUUGGCGAGGUGAGAGGUGAGACAGAGUGUACUGAGGCCGAGACAUACAGUCUGCACACACAUACACACACACAGUAUAUAGGCUUAUUUUUAGGUAAGAGUUCAGAUAUAUUUUGCUUGCAACUGCAUUUUGUGCCUGCAUGAGUGACAAUUCAGUAGGAUGUGUUUCUGAUGAUUCCAGAGAUAAGCGAGAAGAAGUGAGAAGACAGGAAGCACCUGGCGUCGAGAUCGGAGAGAAUGUUCUUUUUGAAUGUGUCAAAGGUUGUCAUUGUUGUAACUGAUGCAUGUCAUGUAUCUGCUUUGACGCAUGAGGGGGCGUUAUAAUACCCUGACGUAUAAAACAUUUUGAGUAUGCUUUUUUGGGGGGAUUUUAUGCUGAGGAUUGUGACGGUGUAUUUCCUCCACACGUGUGUUUUAAUAAAAUCAUUGUUUUGACGCACUUGGACCUGUGGUCGUUUGUCUCUCACCUCAAUUAUGAACCGGUAACAACGUCAAUACAGGUCAAAAAUACAUUGUGUACAGUCAUUGUUUACAGACAAGGGUACAUCUUGUACAUCUCUAAUAACUAUAAACAGACAUGUAACUUCUCUUUUCUAUAACACCUGCCUUUUAAGGUAAUAAACUUCAAGCUUCAGGGUCUCUAAGAGCUAAUAAUGGACCCUCGUCAUCAAUCACUAAGUAGACUAAAUUGGCGCAGGUCUCAAAUAAGAAGCAGAAGACACUUGGGCCUUCGCUCAGGCCUGCUACUAGAUUAAUAUGUAUAUUGUAAGCAUGUAUGCAAUUAACCUGCUAUGUUCUCAUCUUCCCUCAACAUGUAUCACCUGGACACUCUCACCAGUGAAGCUUAAAACCCUCUUGGAUGGAACAUCAACUCUAGACCAGCACAGUUAUGCAAUGUGUAUAAAAUGAACUAAACCUGUGAAUAGAAUGAAUGUGAUGACAAACAUAUUCAAUGCAAUAUGAACCCUGUAAGAAAUAUUACUGAUAAAAUAAUACUGUAGAACAUGUUAUUAAUGCAUUUAUCAUAAGGCAGAUUAUAUGGUAGCAAUAAAAGAAUCUCUAAAUCCCAACAAGACCAUCAGGGAAAGUGAUCGGCUUCUUUAAAUUCUGAUCUCAUAAAACUGUCAGACUACAGCUGUGAGUUCAGACUUUCAGGAUUCAUUUACAGCUUUAUUUUUUAAACACUACAGAUUAAUCUUGUUAUUGUGAAUCUGAGACUCUGCUGCCUUUACUGAUUUUAAUCCUGUGUCUUAUUCAGCACACAGGAUUUUAGUUUUUUCUUCAUUUAAGUUUCCACCUUCAGCCUCGUUGUUCUUUCUUUCCAGCUGAGAUGGAUUUUAGGUGGAAAUGAGACAAACGGUUCAUGAGCUGCCAGCACGUUACAGUUUUUCUCGAUUGCUAAGACACAUUCCUGGAAAGCUGAUCUCCUUUUCCCCACACUGUGAACACAAAACCCAAUUUUCAAGCUACAUUCACAAAACCUCUGACUCUUCUUGCAAAACCAAACUUUCACCCUCAAGUCGAUCUAAAUUAAAUACUCUACUGAGUAGUCACUAAACACUACAUAGAGAAAAGGAAAGCACAAUGCUCAGGACAUGAAGCGGUAGAAAUAAAUGUUUAUUUAGGCUAAAUGCAUGUUGCAAAACAAAAUACCUGGGCAUUUCUAACACUUGUACAUAGAAAAGAGAAUUUGCCAAAAAACAGAAAUCCUGUGCAUUUACAUGUAGCACUUGUACGUAGAAGCACACAAAUAUAAGUGCAUUACUCCGCCACAGCAUCAUUUCUCCGUACUGGGUCAGGCCACAGGACUUCAUCUACGUCACAGGCCACAUUUUCUCUGGCCAGGCAACGAGGGAAAAAAAACCCUGGCAUGCCGUAUCCAGGCUUGACAGGCCUCCACACCCACAGGUGCAUCACAAUGACAAUGUGUUGACAAGAUGUGUCUAAACAGGUGAAAAGUGCUUAUGGUUUUGUCAAAAGAGUGACUGAUUCAAUAAGUGGGUUCAGGCAACUCAGACUUUGGUUCAGACAAUAGGGUUUAGUGUUUUAGCAAUCGAGAAAAACUGUAAAUAUCAGUGUCCUGCUGUGCAGUUUAUUUAUUGUGUUUGACUUUAUUGCCUCCAUGUGGACUUUUGUGGGAAUCAGUUAAGUGGUGA